CUGACAACAUCCCCAGCCCUAUUUUGCAUUUUAUUUAGAGACAGGGUCUCACUGAGUUGCUUAGGGCCUGGCUUUGGCUGAGGCUGGCUUUGAACUCACGAUCCUCCUGCCUCAGCCUCCCGAGUCUCUGGAAUGACACGUGUGUGCCACCAUGCCCGAAUGCAUGCCCUUUAGAAUAAGAAAAAAAAUGAGCUCACAAUCAUGACAGAUCCAAUAUGUUACACAUUAAAAUAAUUCAUAAGGAAGCAGAGCUGCAGGAAAGCAAUAUGAACAAUGUUGGACCAAUUCUGUCUGUGUUGCUUAUCAAUCCCACAGAGAAAGCUUACUUCUGUUUUGAAACCAGUUCCAACACCAGUUCAUUCAAUAAACCCUCAAAAAAUGGUAAAGAAGGGACUGGGGACAUAGCUCAGUGGAACUGUGUGUGCUUAGCAUGUGCAAGACCCUGGGGUCAAACCCUAGUAUCAAUGCCACCACUGACAACAAAGGCAAAGAAGAUCAAGUAGCAAGUUCUGUUUUUGUUAUUGUUCAGAAAAUGACUAUCUACACAGCAGGAGAGUAAUGGAAAAAAUGUUUAAAAAAUAAAACAGAAAAGAAAAGAAAAAUAUUGAAUCACCCCAGUGUUUUGAUUUCCUGGUGCCAAGUACAAAACCUGAGUGAUUGACAUUUCCUAUUGGCUGACUUAAUCAGACUAUUGGUGUUACACAGACAUGGUCUUCUUCUUCCGUGGAUAUAAAGAAAGGGGCAAGGACAAUAUGAGGAUUUGGGGUAAAAUCAAAUAAAGGAUGAGUCAUAUAUGCAGUAGAGUGGAUUCCAGGAGUGACCUCUCAAAUUCUGUAAGAAAGGACCAAGGAUGUAUAAUUGUAGCAAGCUGCCAUUCAGUGAGGUACAAGAUGUGCCUCACAGACAAAGAUCAAUGUUUUAAAUAGCAGAAGGGAUGAGAUGUUAAUU
rnacentral:lncRNA from 1 species